rnacentral:rRNA from 1 species
UACAGAGGGUGCAAGCGUUGUUCGGAAUUAUUGGGCGUAAAGGGCGCGUAGGCGGUGCGGUAAGUCCGCAGUGAAAUCUCUGGGCUCAACUCAGAGUCUGCUGUGGAAACUGCCGUGCUAGAGUCCGGAAGAGGAGAGUGGAAUUCCUGGUGUAGCGGUGAAAUGCGCAGAUAUCAGGAAGAACACCCGUGGCGAAGGCGGCUCUCUGGGACGGUGCUGACGCUGAGACGCGAAAGCGUGGGGAGCGAACAGG